UGAUGUUUGAAACACAGAUAUGGGGCAGCCUGGCAAACUGGGACAUCACACUGCUGCAAACACACCAAGGCAAGCUAUACAAGUGCUCACAAUGGUGGAAACAACCACUGGGUGUCUGGAAAUGAACCCUGUACCUCACACCAAGGCCCAAAACACCAUCCUGGGCCUUGAGAUGCAACUUCUGCAGCAACAUGGCACCCUAGAAAGAACUGAGUUGGACUAAUGGGACUCAUUUCAAAAGGAGCCCCACAGACACAUGAGCCAGAGAGCAGAGAAUUGAUGUCAGCUACUUUGAACAAUAGAACUCUUUUGAAAACACCAGCCAGCAGAAAAUUCUUGUGGCGCAUGCUUCACUUUAGUGAAAUGAUUGGUUUUGUUUACUUUGGGUUGGAUCUGUGAUUCUCCUAUUCAAGUUCCAGAAUUGAAGAUGGAAAAAGACAAUCACACAGUCUUGCAGAGUGCCAACGUCCUUCAUGUGUUGAAAAGGAGGAGGAAAGUUGUCAUGACCUCCAGCAAGGGACCCAAGGUCUUUCUGGCAUUUAUGAUUAUGGAAAGAAACUGCCGAACAUGAAUCACCCGUUAGAAAGCUCCCUCCACAAUUCAGAUAUUUUCUUGGGAUAUUUCUGGCCUGGAAAAAUUUUGUUGCCUGUGCUUGUUGUGAAGACCGAUUUCAGCUGCUUGGGAAGAGACAACAAGAACCCUAGAGGACAGAUCAGCUUGGCCUUCAUUUGCCUCCAGAACAAACAGGUUUAUUUUUGCUAUUUAGAGACUUACUUGUCAGGCAGUGCUUUAAGAGACAGGAGGAACAAUUUAACCUUGAAAUACAAAAACAUUGCUUCACAUGUUUCUUCUGGACAUCUUAUGGAAAAUCAGAAGGAAGUACCCAGCAAAAUGGAAUCCACUACAAAAAGGAGAGACAGAGGAAAGAAGAGAAGAGAAGAGAAAAAAAGAGGAAUGAACUGGCUUCUUUGAAUAAAUUGCUAAUCUGUAAGCAGUGUUUAUCAGCUGAAGAAAAACAACUCUGUGUGCUAGACUUGUUCAUAAGGCAAGACCAUUAUCAAUUGUGUCUUCAUUAACUGAAGCUUCUUAGACACACUAGUAGCAAGGCAGACAAAAUAAAAUGGGCCAAGUAGUCUCAGUCUGUGGAGUCAGCCACAAGCUGGAGUCGCUCUAACCACUGGAAAUCACCCAGUGAAAGUGAGCCAGAAGUGCCAACAGCAGCCAGGGCCUGUACAUGUGUACAGAGGAUUGGAACUAGGGAUCAGGGAGGUGCAAGGCAGCACUGAGCAGUGUGAUAUGAUACAGGGUGUUUAUUGCUACAAGCUGAGCAGCACUAGCUGCUAGCACUAGCACAGUAAAAGGAAAGUUUAAAGUUUAAGCGGGGAGGGGUUAAUUAGGAUAAUAGGGAUGCUUAAUAAUAAUUCCAGAGCCUCUUCUUGUGCUCCAAGGACCACAAUACUUAUUAAAAAGUUGCAAAGAGGAAUUGGUGCAGUUUGUGUCAUGGUUUGUAAAGUUGAUUACUGCUUGUGAGCAUUCCUAGUGUACUGAGAGCAAACCUGCAUGGCCAAAGUACUUCCUGCCUGAAUGCUCCUGUCCUUCCAAUCCACUCUUCCUAAUGGAGAGUGCAAAUAACAGCAACAAAAAUAUCUGUAAAAAGUAUCUUGUAUAUCAAAAUAUCUGUAAAAAGUAUCUCGUAUAUCACUCUCAAGUGUGAAUGGGAGCUUAUACUUCCUGGGAAAAUACUAGACUGUACAGAUGACAGAGUAACUUUGUCAAAAAAAUUUCUUCAUCUCUGCUUCUGCUUUUCAUGCUGUCUUCUACAACAUUUAAAAAUAUUUUAUGAGCUUAGGGGGAUGAAAACAUUGAAUAAGGCCAAGGGUAUGAGCACUUCAGUAUAUUUCAGUGGAGAAAGUACAAGCUGUAGACAUGCCUGGUGAAUGCACUGGAGUUCUUUGUGUUCACUCCAAAUUGGCUCUUAGAAAUGAAACACCAAUAAUCUUAUUUGGAAGAUAAAGGUGCGUACCACAGAGGAAAAAACAGUAACUAUCUUGCAAGGCGAAUAGAAAUUUUUAAAACAGGUGUCUGUUCCAUGUUUAACUUCUUUUAUUCUUUCCCCUGCACAUUUCAAUUUUCAUUAAUGAAAUAAUAAAAUAGAAAGAUAGAAGCAAAAUAACAAAAUAGUACUGCUUGUGACAUUAAUAUUUUUUAUUUGUAGCAUGCACCAGAUUCUAAGAUUUUGCUUCUGUGUUUGGUAUCUUCUUGGCAGCCUGUUUUUAAUUGAGUCUAGGAUAUUUUAACACAGCCCUGGUUUACUAUCUUUGCUGUCCUCUGAGUCAGCUCGAUGUGUGUCUCAAUACUGCUUAGGUUUUGCGUACUGUGGAUGUCAUCCUGAUAUCCCAUGUGUUUAUGUGCACUGCAGGGUCAAUCAGUUCUCCGUGUACUGCACAUAUUUCUUCUGUUAAAGCAAACUAUUUCCAUAUGUCCGCAACAAAACCCUCCUCAUUAAAAUACUGGAGAAGGUCUGCAUUGCUUCCUUCUCUAGAAGAAGUUUCCUUCUCUAGAAGAGAGCAUUGAAUUGCCGUCUAUGUAUCCAGGUUUUCAACAUGCAUGCUA